CUCCUCUCCCCGCCGGGAACUAACUCGAAGCAUGUUUGAAAACAAAAUGGCGGCCCGGGCCGAGCCGGCGGUUGAUCGUUAGCCAGCUGAUGGACAGGUGUAAGCGUUGAUGAUCAUGGCGGUGGUGAACGCUCAGCAAUCAUCAUCGCCGCCGCCGCCGUGAUGAGGACAACAAAACCCAGAAUGUGAUUACAGCGAAUGGGAGAGACGGAGGCGGCGGACGUUGGAAUUGGAAAAUAUGAAGAGAUCGUUUCCCUGCUUAAGUUCAACAAAUCUGUGCGGGAUUCGUGUCAUCGGCUCGACAAAAA